rnacentral:hammerhead_ribozyme from 1 species
GCACUGCUGACGAGUCCCAAACAGGACGCAACAGCUGUCGAGUGC